rnacentral:tRNA from 1 species
GCAUCCUUAGCUCAACGGGUAGAGCGUUCGGCUGUUAACCGAAAUGUUACAGGUUCGAGCCCUGUAGGAUGGGUUGCCA